rnacentral:lncRNA from 1 species
CAUGUUAAUAGUUUUCAUUUGAAAACACAUUGUGAGAAUGAACAAGAAUUCUUUUGUGUAUACCUUCUCAUGAAUGCGGAUUGAAAUGUAUCUUAGAGAAGUUUAUGAGUCAAUUUAGUGGACUGUAUGUCACUAAGUGACACGACCCACCCCGAGUUUCACCCUGAAACCCGGAGUAAGUCGUGUGGGGACCACCUCCAAGAAAAAUUUACCGAAAAUUCGGUAUAACCUCCCUUGAAAAUGGACAACCCUUCCUAAUAAUACCUGCAAACACUUCUGAAAAAUCCAAAUCCAUCCUUUAACUCCUGGAGCCUUCGUGCUCCCCAAAACACAAGAUCUCCCAAAUAUUUACUAAUUUUAAUAAGAAAACCAACAACCAACAAUCACUAGUUCAGAGCAACUCUAAUAUAGGAGAAAAUGACCAGAAUUAUAAAUGUGAACGGGAGCUACACUAUCGACUAUGCCUCACCUCCAUGUACGCCCGAACUCAACUAUGCAAACCUGCCAACUGGGCAUUUUAAAACGAAGGGCCCAGGGGAAAACAUUUGAAACACGUUAGAGUGAGUGGACAAAAAGAUAAAUUUAAUGAAAAUAUUUAUGCUUUCCCAAUUUACAUUUCCAUAGAAAAAUAUGCUGCAUGCGACAGCUCAAAACGCUCAACACGAAAACUGGAAAUUUCAUGACUAGCUCCGGCCAGUCUCCAACGCUCAAUAACAUACAGCCUCUNNNNNNNNNNNNNNNNNNNNCCCACAAAUCACAACAUCUCCCAAAAUAGAUUCACUAAUCUAACAAAUGAUCCUAUAACCAACAACCACAUAUUCAGAGCAACUCUACUUGAGAGGAGAGGAACUAGAAAUAAAUAGAAAUGAGCGGAAGCUAUACUAUUGACUAUGCCUCUUCACCAUGUACGCUCGGCCUCAAUAUGCUAACCUGCAACUGGGCAUUUAUAAAACGAAGAGCCCAGGGGAAAACAUUUGAAACUGUUAGAGUGAGUGGACAAAAACAUAAAUUUAAUGAAAUAUUUAUGCUUUCCCAAUUUACAUUUCCAUAGAAAUAUGCUGCAUGCGACAGCUCAAAACGCUCAACACGAAAACUGGAAAUUUCAUGACUAGCUCCGGCCAGUCUCCAACGCUCAAAAAAAAAUACAGCCUCUCAGGCUAAAAUAAAAUAUGUAUGUAUUACACUCGUCAUAUCCCUUGUAUGAAUUUUCUUGAAACAACUAAAACAAAUAAGAAAUUCACACAAGGCUACAACGCUUGCGUCUAACGCUCACGUUGCACCAUAAUGGCAUUUUACCUCAUUAUGGUGGAAAAGACGGUGUAUAAAUAUACGCGCAUACGCGCAUAUCCCUUAUAUAAAUUAUUAUUUUUAUAUAGGGCUACAACGAUUGCGUCUAACGCUCACGUUGCACCAUAAUAGAAUUUUACCUCAGUAUGGUGGAAAAGCACGUAUAGCUAGCUAGCAUUCUCUCAUAUACAUAUUAUUCUCAUAAUCAUCUAAAUAUGGAUAUAUAUACAUACUCACCGAAAUUCUCAAUUUCGGUUAUUCUCCAACGAUAAUGAAAAUUGCCAAUUAUCAUAAAAAGCAAUACGCACACGACUCUACCGAAAAUCUCAUUUUCGGUAACUUUCCAAAUAACACGAUAGCCAUUAAAAAUGAGAACAUUUACUUCUGAAAAUGACUUCGCGAAAAUAGACAAAUCCACAAAUUGAUAUUCAAUAAAAUCAAUCAUUUAAUGUAGAAUCACCGCAUGCAUAUAUUUUAAAACAAAAGUCCACUCACAACUUUAGGCCUAAGCCUGACGUCGAUCCGAGGUCUCUUCUGCUUGAGCCUCCUCACGUCCUGUUUCCAAAAGUAGAUUAAUUUCCCCACUAAUACUCCN